rnacentral:tRNA from 1 species
UGUUCUGUGGCUUAGUUGGUUGAAGCGCCGGUCUAGCGAAUACGAAAUCGUGGGUUUGAAUCCCACCAGAACGU